rnacentral:rRNA from 1 species
AUGCUUUUCAUUCUGGCAAUAGACCCGUUGCAACAGAUUCUCCGUCUCGCCUCUGAGCAGGGCAUCCUCAAGCCCAUCCGCGCUCGUUCCGCCAGAUGUAGAAUCUCUCUCUUUGCGGAUGAUGCAGGCAUCUUUGCCAACCCUGAUAAGGAGGAGCUGCGGGCGAUCUCGGCCAUACUAAAAGCCUUUGGGGAGGCUAGUGGCCUAAUCACGAACCUAUCAAAUACCGAGGUUUUUCCGAUACGAUGCGGGGACUUUGACCUACAGGACAUACUCACCGUCUUCCCCGCCAAGAUUGCCAGCUUCCCAGGACGCUACCUCGGACUUCCAUUGCACUAUCGUCGGCUCCGGAGGGUUGACCUCCAACCUUUCAUCGACAAGAUUGCGGGUAGACUGCCGGGUUGGAAAGGGAAAGCUACUAAAUAA